AACCCGGUGAUCUAGCCAUGGGCAGGUUGAAGGUUGGGUAACACUAACUGGAGGACCGAACCGACUAAUGUUGAAAAAUUAGCGGAUGACUUGUGGCUGGGGGUGAAAGGCCAAUCAAACCGGGAGAUAGCUGGUUCUCCCCGAAAGCUAUUUAGGUAGCGCCUCGUGAACUCAUCUUCGGGGGUAGAGCACUGUUUCGACUAGGGGGUCAUCCCGACUUACCAACUCGAUGCAAACUACGAAUACCGAAGAAUGUUAUCACGGGAGACACACGGCGGGUGCUAACGUUCGUCGUGAAGAGGGAAACAACCCAGACCGCCAGCUAAGGUCCCAAAGUCAUAGUUAAGUGGGAAACGAAGUGGGAAGGCUCAGACAGCCAGGAUGUUGGCUUAGAAGCAGCCAUCAUUUAAAGAAAGCGUAAUAGCUCACUGGUCGAGUCGGCCUGCGCGGAAGAUGUAACGGGGCUAAACUAUGCA
rnacentral:rRNA from 1 species